CCUCAUUUUAGCUGGUUUUAGCCUCGGGCCACUACUGUGAUUUUACCCCAUGCUCCUGGCCUGACGUCAUUAAAGAUGCAUGAUGAUGGAUACCGUGAAUUCAACCUCACCGAGGGGGUUUUGAGGUGAAGAAGAAGAGGGAAAGAGAAAAAGAACCUUGCUUGUUUUUCAGAUCACACUAAGAAUAAAUCAAGACUGUUUAAAUGGAGAGGUUGCAAGUGGAUGCAUGUGACUAAUCUCCCGGUUGCACAUCACAGGAAAGCAGACAGAAGGGAGGCCUCGCCGGUGGAGAGGCGGCUCCUGACCAGUUGGUGGUGCUCCUGUCACAGUCAAUUCCUGUUAACAACACUUUGCAAAGACUCUUGCGUGUCUCCAAAAGUGGGAGUGACAGAAUAGGGGGGAUACAUUUGACAGCCAUGCUCCCCGGGUUCAAAGGUCGUGUCAAGCGGUGGACGAGUCUCAAGCAACUUCCACUCAGAAAAGUGGUGCUCUGUGGAUACAGGAGCAUCGCUUCCCUCUCUCCUCCCAGUCAUUAUGAUGUGGACGGGCAGCUCUUGAAGCUUCAAAGGCGGGAAGGAGUGAUUUAAGCAUGGGGUUCAAGCGUCCCCUUGGCCUUGCAG